rnacentral:rRNA from 1 species
GAUGAACGCUCGCUACAGGCUUAACACAUGCAAGUCGAGGGGAAACGGCAUCGAAAGCUUGCUUUUGAUGGGCGUCGACCGGCGCACGGGUGAGUAACGCGUAUCCAACCUGCCCAUCACUUGGGAAUAACCUUGCGAAAGUAAGACUAAUGCCCAAUGACAUCCCACGAAGGCAUCCGAAUGGGAUUAAAGAUUUAUCGGUGAUGGAUGGGGAUGCGUCUGAUUAGCUUGUUGGCGGGGUGACGGCCCACCAAGGCAACGAUCAGUAGGGGUUCUGAGAGGAAGGUCCCCCACAUUGGAACUGAGACACGGUCCAAACUCCUACGGGAGGCAGCAGUGAGGAAUAUUGGUCAAUGGGCGAGAGCCUGAACCAGCCAAGUAGCGUGCAGGAUGACGGCCCUAUGGGUUGUAAACUGCUUUUAUAAGGGAAUAAAGUGGGUCACGUGUGACUUUUUGCACGUACCUUAUGAAUAAGGACCGGCUAAUUCCGUG